rnacentral:rRNA from 1 species
GAUUAAGUUAUUAAGGGCGCACGGUGGAUGCCUUGGCACUAGAAGCCGAUGAAGGACGUUACUAACGACGAUAUGCUUUGGGGAGCUGUAAGUAAGCUUUGAUCCAGAGAUUUCCGAAUGGGGAAACCCAGCAUGAGUUAUGUCAUGUUAUCGAUAUGUGAAUACAUAGCAUAUCAGAAGGCACACCCGGAGAACUGAAACAUCUUAGUACCCGGAGGAAGAGAAAGAAAAUUCGAUUCCCUUAGUAGCGGCGAGCGAAACGGGAAGAGCCCAAACCAACAAGCUUGCUUGUUGGGGUUGUAGGACACUCUAUACGGAGUUACAAAGGACGACAUUAGACGAAUCAUCUGGAAAGAUGAAUCAAAGAAGGUAAUAAUCCUGUAGUCGAAAAUGUUGUCUCUCUUGAGUGGAUCCUGAGUACGACGGAGCACGUGAAAUUCCGUCGGAAUCUGGGAGGACCAUCUCCUAAGGCUAAAUACUCUCUAGUGACCGAUAGUGAACCAGUACCGUGAGGGAAAGGUGAAAAGCACCCCGGAAGGGGAGUGAAAUAGAACCUGAAACCGUGUGCUUACAAGUAGUCAGAGCCCGUUAAUGGGUGAUGGCGUGCCUUUUGUAGAAUGAACCGGCGAGUUACGAUUUGAUGCAAGGUUAAGCAGUAAAUGUGGAGCCGUAGCGAAAGCGAGUCUGAAUAGGGCGUUUAGUAUUUGGUCGUAGACCCGAAACCAGGUGAUCUACCCUUGGUCAGGUUGAAGUUCAGGUAACACUGAAUGGAGGACCGAACCGACUUACGUUGAAAAGUGAGCGGAUGAACUGAGGGUAGCGGAGAAAUUCCAAUCGAACCUGGAGAUAGCUGGUUCUCUCCGAAAUAGCUUUAGGGCUAGCCUCAAGUGAUGAUUAUUGGAGGUAGAGCACUGUUUGGACGAGGGGCCCCUCUCGGGUUACUGAAUUCAGACAAACUCCGAAUGCCAAUUAAUUUAACUUGGGAGUCAGAACAUGGGUGAUAAGGUCCGUGUUCGAAAGGGAAACAGCCCAGACCACCAGCUAAGGUCCCAAAAUAUAUGUUAAGUGGAAAAGGAUGUGGCGUUGCCCAGACAACUAGGAUGUUGGCUUAGAAGCAGCCAUCAUUUAAAGAGUGCGUAAUAGCUCACUAGUCGAGUGACACUGCGCCGAAAAUGUACCGGGGCUAAACAUAUUACCGAAGCUGUGGAUUGUCCUUUGGACAAUGGUAGGAGAGCGUUCUAAGGGCGUUGAAGCAUGAUCGUAAGGACAUGUGGAGCGCUUAGAAGUGAGAAUGCCGGUGUGAGUAGCGAAAGACGGGUGAGAAUCCCGUCCACCGAUUGACUAAGGUUUCCAGAGGAAGGCUCGUCCGCUCUGGGUUAGUCGGGUCCUAAGCUGAGGCCGACAGGCGUAGGCGAUGGAUAACAGGUUGAUAUUCCUGUACCACCUAUAAUCGUUUUAAUCGAUGGGGGGACGCAGUAGGAUAGGCGAAGCGUGCGAUUGGAUUGCACGUCUAAGCAGUAAGGCUGAGUAUUAGGCAAAUCCGGUACUCGUUAAGGCUGAGCUGUGAUGGGGAGAAGACAUUGUGUCUUCGAGUCGUUGAUUUCACACUGCCGAGAAAAGCCUCUAGAUAGAAAAUAGGUGCCCGUACCGCAAACCGACACAGGUAGUCAAGAUGAGAAUUCUAAGGUGAGCGAGCGAACUCUCGUUAAGGAACUCGGCAAAAUGACCCCGUAACUUCGGGAGAAGGGGUGCUCUUUAGGGUUAACGCCCAGAAGAGCCGCAGUGAAUAGGCCCAAGCGACUGUUUAUCAAAAACACAGGUCUCUGCUAAACCGUAAGGUGAUGUAUAGGGGCUGACGCCUGCCCGGUGCUGGAAGGUUAAGAGGAGUGGUUAGCUUCUGCGAAGCUACGAAUCGAAGCCCCAGUAAACGGCGGCCGUAACUAUAACGGUCCUAAGGUAGCGAAAUUCCUUGUCGGGUAAGUUCCGACCCGCACGAAAGGCGUAACGAUUUGGGCACUGUCUCAACGAGAGACUCGGUGAAAUCAUAGUACCUGUGAAGAUGCAGGUUACCCGCGACAGGACGGAAAGACCCCGUGGAGCUUUACUGUAGCCUGAUAUUGAAAUUCGGCACAGCUUGUACAGGAUAGGUAGGAGCCUUUGAAACGUGAGCGCUAGCUUACGUGGAGGCGCUGGUGGGAUACUACCCUAGCUGUGUUGGCUUUCUAACCCGCACCACUUAUCGUGGUGGGAGACAGUGUCAGGCGGGCAGUUUGACUGGGGCGGUCGCCUCCUAAAAGGUAACGGAGGCGCUCAAAGGUUCCCUCAGAAUGGUUGGAAAUCAUUCAUAGAGUGUAAAGGCAUAAGGGAGCUUGACUGCGAGACCUACAAGUCGAGCAGGGUCGAAAGACGGACUUAGUGAUCCGGUGGUUCCGCAUGGAAGGGCCAUCGCUCAACGGAUAAAAGCUACCCCGGGGAUAACAGGCUUAUCUCCCCCAAGAGUUCACAUCGACGGGGAGGUUUGGCACCUCGAUGUCGGCUCAUCGCAUCCUGGGGCUGUAGUCGGUCCCAAGGGUUGGGCUGUUCGCCCAUUAAAGCGGUACGCGAGCUGGGUUCAGAACGUCGUGAGACAGUUCGGUCCCUAUCCGUCGUGGGCGUAGGAAAUUUGAGAGGAGCUGUCCUUAGUACGAGAGGACCGGGAUGGACAUACCUCUGGUGUACCAGUUGUCGUGCCAACGGCAUAGCUGGGUAGCUAUGUGUGGACGGGAUAAGUGCUGAAAGCAUCUAAGCAUGAAGCCUCCCUCAAGAUGAGAUUUCCCAACUUCGGUUAUAAGAUCCCUCAAAGAUGAUGAGGUUAAUAGGUUCGAGGUGGAAGCAUGGUGACAUGUGGAGCUGACGAAUACUAAUCGAUCGAAGACUUAAUCAA